UUGAAGGUUGGGUAACACUAACUGGAGGACCGAACCGACUAAUGUUGAAAAAUUAGCGGAUGACCUGUGGCUGGGGGUGAAAGGCCAAUCAAACCGGGAGAUAGCUGGUUCUCCCCGAAAGCUAUUUAGGUAGCGCCUCGUGAAUUCAUCUCCGGGGGUAGAGCACUGUUUCGGCUAGGGGGCCAUCCCGGCUUACCAACCCGAUGCAAACUGCGAAUACCGGAGAAUGUUAUCACGGGAGACACACGGCGGGUGCUAACGUCCGUCGUGAAGAGGGAAACAACCCAGACCGCCAGCUAAGGUCCCAAAGUCAUGGUUAAGUGGGAAACGAUGUGGGAAGGCCCAGACAGCCAGGAUGUUGGCUUAGAAGCAGCCAUCAUUUAAAGAAAGCGUAAUAGCUCACUGGUCGAGUCGGCCUGCGCGGAAGAUGUAACGGGGCUAAACCAUGCACCGAAGCUGCGGCAGCGACACUGUGUGUUGUUGGGUAGGGGAGCGUUCUGUAAGCCUGUGAAGGUGUGUCGUGAGGC
rnacentral:rRNA from 3 species